AGGAUAGGCAAACAAUGACCAAUUUCUUAUUUAAACAAGAUUAUAUAACUGGAAUAUUGCCAUAGUGAUGAUAGUUUAUGAAGUCAUAUGGGCGUGGAUGUCCCACCCCUUUUUGCUCUUUUUAAAACACAGCCUUAUCUGCUGGUGGCAUAUUUUGGAACACCAGAUCAUCCAGACUUAACUUGGAAACACAUCCAUGAUGAAGAAGGCAGUGCUCGUGUGUUUUGCCCUGUUUGUGGUCAUUUCCGUGACCAAUGCCGCUGAAUGCAUAAGUCAGAAGCAGGGCUGGGUGACUUGUUAUGAUGCUGUAGAUAAGAAAACGUACACAAAGGGAGCGAAAUGGGUUAACAGCGCAUGCCAGUUUUGCAGAUGCAACUAUGGAACUUCCAUCUGCUGUCCAGGAAUACGAGAUGGAUCCGGACAGUGCCAGCGUGUGAGCUGAGAAAUGCGUGUGAGCUGAGCGUGCCAGCAUGAGAAAAUGAAUCUGGAGAAUUACAGUGACAGAUCGGAGUCACUGUGUGGAUAAAUUUCGAUUAAUCGACUCAAUUAACAAUAAAGCAUUACUGAAGCAUUCAAUUUGUCUGUUUGUUUGUUUGUUUGUAAACGUGACUAAACACGUGGAAAAGAAAGUGUUCGCUGGGCAGCGACCACCUAGAAUUUAUUAAGAAAAUGAAGGAAAAAGCUAAGGAUAUGACGGGAAAAGAAAGACAAUCAUGAAAAGGACAACAUUUUACAGCAAGUAAGAGAGCGGAAAUAAAGAAAUAUGAACAGAAUAAACUAAGUCAAUAUUUUGGAUGAACCCUUUUUCUUCCCUCAAUAUGGCACCGUAUCUCGUAGGAUGCGCACACUGUAAAUGUGCUAAAUAACAGCAUGAACAACAUGUGACUGUUGUUUUCCUUCUUCAACACAAUUUAAGACAAUACUUACAAUUAUUAUUAGCAAUUUAUUUUUUUGACUGAAGAAAAGUAAGUGUACAUACCCUGUCUGUUUUAGCUCUAAACAAGAUGUGUGACACUCUGUUAGCUCUAUUUCCCUCGUGUCUACACGCAUAAUUGUACAUAUCCUGAAUAAAUCUACAUUCACACAAUGCAAAUGGAACCAGCCAAUUCGGUUACACCAAAUGAGGCGAACAUUUUCAGCUUGUCCUCGCGCACUCUCUGAGUAUUGUUUGUUUAUGGAAGUAGGUUCCUAAUUUUAUAGCCGUUUAUCAGACUUGAACAACAUGAUCAUACCACUAUGCUGCAAUACUUUGAACAAACCAAAGUAUUAUAUAAAAUAUUUUAACAGUGGUGGGGACAUAACAGGGCACAUCAAAGCUAGUAGGGAUUUUGGUUACUUAUGAGCUAAUCUAGGUAAAAGACCCUCAGGAUAGAACCAAAGUGAUUGCCUACCUAUGUCUUUUUAUAUACAUUGGUACACACUGGGUGCAUGAACUGUAGGUUGUCAGGGUUCAAGGAGGGGAUUGCUGAAUUUUUAUUGGCCUUCAAAACUAAAGAUUUUACAUUUAUUUCUAAUACGCUAAGGUCUUUUAAGUGGUUCUAUACUCAGAUGAAACAAAAAUAGAGCUUUUUGGUAAUAAACACCAGAGGUGGUUUUGGUGCACACAGAGAGGUAGCCAUAUGGAAAAGUACCUCAGGCUCACAGUUAAAUAUGGAGGUGGAUCUUAAUGUUUUGGGGCUGUUUUUCUGCCAGAUGACCUGGACAUUUUGUUAGGAUACAUGGCAUCAUGGACUCUAUCAAAUAUCUACACAUAUUAAAUGAAAACCUGACUGCCUCUGCCAGAAAGCUUAAAAUGGGCCGUGGUUGGAUCUUCCAGCAGGACAAUGAUCCAAAACAUACAUCAAAAUCAACACAAAAAUGGUUUACUGACCACAAAAUCAAGAUCCUGCCAUGACCAUCCCAGUUCCCUGACUCGAAACCCAUAGAAAACCUGUGGAGUGAACUUAAGAGGAGAGUCCACUAGCAUGGACCUCGAAAUGUGAAGGAUCUGGAGAGAUUCUGUAUGGAGGAACGGUCUCAGAUCCCUUCCCAUGUCUUCUCCAACCUCCUCAGGCAUUAUAGGAGAAACUGUUAUCUUGGCAAAAGGAGGUAACACAAAAUAUUGACUAAAAGUGUGCCAAUAUUUGUUGCACACCUAUAUUUAACAAAGGUGUUGGUUUUUUUUUUGGUCAAUAAACCUGUGUUUUGUUUGCAAUUGUUUGAUAUCCCCGAGAGCAGAGUAUUUUUGUGAAUUUUUCGAACAAUAAAGAGAAUUUUUCACAGCCGUCUUUGCUCAUAUUUACAAAGGAUGCCAAUAUUAAUAUAUAUGUGCACACAUAUACAUACAAUACAUAAGUUUGUCCUAUUUUUUUUUUGUUGAUAAUACGGAUUUGGACAGUGGCAAACAAUGUAGAGUGGAUACCAAGAAACGGCCACUUUCAUGUAGUGCCUUUGGAAAGUGAUUCUUAAGAAUUAAAGUGUAAGUGAUUGAUUGAUCAUUUGGCAAGAAGCCUCAUUUUGCAAAACGUCAUGACAGAAACAUUACUGUAUUAACACCAAAUGACUGCAGUUUUCUGUGGUUUGAUUUGUAAAUGAGACAGAUGGUGAGGAGGAAGACAUUACGGAAGAUUUUUCCGUACCAAAUAUUGUAUGUUCUCACGGUUCCUACGGUAUAUUUCCCACGAAAUUCAAGCAUUAAAUUGGCUGUGAGUGAGCAUGUCACCUUAUGCGUCACGUCACACUAAGACUGCCAACCUCAACUCAUGACUAAAGAAUUCUUUAUGAUGUGUAUUUUCUGUGACAGCAAAAUCUGGCCAAAAAUCGUAGAGUGUACAAUGUGUGUGCGAUUAGAUACAGAUGUAAUUAUCCUUAAAUCCACACACAGAAGGCACAUUGUCUGUCAUACUGUAUGCUAUUGCCAGUAUUACCUGCCAAGUCUCUGGAGCACAAGCCUGGGAGCCACUAAAUAAGCUCCUCGUUCUUUCAGAAACAGACUGGAAAUUAUGCGGUACUUUUGAGUUAAAUUGUUUGGAUACUAUUCAGCAAAUUGAACUAACUUGGUUCUGUUCA